rnacentral:lncRNA from 1 species
CUAAAUAAUUAACAUUUAAUUACAUGAUCGGCCUGAGAAGCAAGAAUGAAAGGAUCAUAAUAUUGCAGCUUUCGCCUCGAAUUUACUGAUGUAACACUAAAUGAAUCUGUUCUCACACCUCGAUCUAGAGUGUUGUCGUGCCUAUCACAAUAGAAAACAGUACAGCGCAAUCCAACCAUGCUCAAAUACUUGAUUUCCAAAAUCUCAUGUAUGUGUCUGUAGUAUACAUCAUCUCCUGAUGCAGAACAAACGCCAGCAUCAUAAGUCGUACUCGAACGUCUUCUCUUCUGAGUUGUGA